rnacentral:rRNA from 1 species
AGUGAACGCUGGCGGUAGGCCUAACACAUGCAAGUCGAACGGCAGCACAGUAAGAGCUUGCUCUUACGGGUGGCGAGUGGCGGACGGGUGAGGAAUACAUCGGAAUCUACUUUUUCGUGGGGGAUAACGUAGGGAAAUUUACGCUAAUACCGCAUACGACCUACGGGUGAAAGCAGGGGAGCUUCGGACCUUGCGCGAUUGACUGAGCCGAUGUCGGAUUAGCUAGUUGGCGGGGUAAAGGCCCACCAAGGCGACGAUCCGUAGCUGGUCUGAGAGGAUGAUCAGCCACACUGGAACUGAGACACGGCCCAGACUCCUACGGGAGGCAGCAGUGGGGAAUAUUGGACAAUGGGCGCAAGCCUGAUCCAGCCAUACCGCGUGGGUGAAGAAGGCCUUCGGGUUGUAAAGCCCUUUUGUUGGGAAAGAAAAGCAGCAGGUUAAUACCCCGCUGUUCUGACGGUACCCAAAGAAUAAGCACCGGCUAACUUCGUG